AACGAACGCUGGCGGCGGGCUUAACACAUGCAAGUCGAACGCCCCGCAAGGGGAGUGGCAGACGGGUGAGUAACACGUGGGAACAUGCCCAAAGGUACGGAAUAUUCUCGGGAAACUGGGAGCAAUACCGUAUGUGCCCGAAAGGGGAAAGAUUUAUCGCCUUUGGAUUGGCCCGCGUCAGAUUAGGUAGGUGGUGGGGUAAUGGCCUACCAAGCCGACGAUCUGUAGCUGGUCUGAGAGGACGACCAGCCACACUGGGACUGAGACACGGCCCAGACUCCUACGGGAGGCGGCAGUGGGGAAUCUUGGACAAUGGGCGCAAGCCUGAUCCAGCCAUGCCGCGUGGAUGAUGAAGGCCCUAGGGUUGUAAAAUCCUUUCGUUGGGGACGAUAAUGACGGUACCCAAAGAAGAAGCUCCGGCUAACUUCGUGCCAGCCGCCGCGGUAAAAC
rnacentral:rRNA from 1 species